rnacentral:rRNA from 1 species
UACGGAGGGUGCAAGCGUUAUCCGGAUUCACUGGGUUUAAAGGGUGCGUAGGUGGCUUUGUAAGUCAGUGGUGAAAGCCCGGAGCUUAACUCCGGAACUGCCAUUGAUACUGCUUAGCUUGAAUUAGAUGGAGGUGGAUGGAAUAUUACAUGUAGCGGUGAAAUGCUUAGAUAUGUAAUAGAACACCGAUUGCGAAGGCAGUUCACUACGUCUAUAUUGACACUGAGGCACGAAAGCGUGGGGAUCAAACAGG